GACGAACGCUGGCGGCGUGCUUAACACAUGCAAGUCGAACGGAAAGGCCCUGCUUUUGUGGGGUGCUCGAGUGGCGAACGGGUGAGUAACACGUGAGUAACCUGCCCUUGACUUUGGGAUAACUUCAGGAAACUGGGGCUAAUACCGGAUAGGAGCUCCUGCUGCAUGGUGGGGGUUGGAAAGUUUCGGCGGUUGGGGAUGGACUCGCGGCUUAUCAGCUUGUUGGUGGGGUAGUGGCUUACCAAGGCUUUGACGGGUAGCCGGCCUGAGAGGGUGACCGGGCACAUUGGGGCUGAGAGACGGGCCAGAGUCCCUCGGGGGGGAGAAGUGGGGGAAAUUUCACAAGGGGGGGGGGACUGAUGCGGAAACGCCCCGUGGGGGAGAAGGGCGUUUGGGGUUUAAAACCCUUUCGCCCGUGACGAAAGGGGAGGGACGGGAAAUGGGAAAAAAACACCCGGUAACUAUGC
rnacentral:rRNA from 1 species